GCCCGGCCGCGCGCCCGGCCGCUGCCGCCCCUGCUCCCGCCCGCCGCCGCCAGGCCGUCCUGGUCCUUCGCCCGGCGGCCGGCGCCCCUUAGUGAACAAAAAGCUUAGUGCAUCUAAGUUGCCCCCCUCAAGUUGCAUCAAUCAAUAAUCUCCAUUGCAGAAUCAAUCCACACUAACCCCAUUUCAGUAUUCCUGUUGUUGGACAGGACCCGAUCUACCGGUGGGCGGUGGAGCCAUGGAGGUGAUAGCCAUGCAUCCUCCCAUUCUCGCAGCUUCAAGACCAUUCGCGUCACUGAUGGAAACAACCAAAGAGCCACCGGUCUUCAAUUGAUCUCCCAUCUGAUGGGGCGCAUAAAUUCUCACUGAGACUCAAGUCGAUAUGAAGGCACCACUGGGAUUCUACUGAUAUGAACAAUGCAAGUGACAUUAAUAAAGUAGCAUAUGGAUUCCUGCUUUAGUAAACUAUUGGACCAGUGGAUUCCGGCAGCACUGAGAUUGAGACAGGCAAUUAGAUGGGACCAUCGCCAUUGUGCUUGAAUGAUGAAUCAAGGACGAGAUCACGCUCUAACGGCUGAGGAAACUAGACAUGAAUAAAAAGGAAAGAUGCACUUUUGUUAAACAAUGUUUUAGCGAAGUUCAUGCUUGGCAGUUCGAAAAGGAUGGCAAUUUCAUGGUAAGAUGUUUAUGACAACUAACACAUUGAGGCAGUAAGAGCCCAUGAAUAGUUUUCUCUGCAGCAGUACUGGAAGAACAAUUUCUUUUCCACUUUAUAUGGUUUCUUUAAUGGUUUAUGAUUUAGAGUUUGAAGCUUGAUAAUGUCAUCACAAGAUUUACUUAGAUGUUUGGACACUGGUCAUGGUUGUUUGGAAGGCUGAUGUAAGUGGACCACUCUUGACUUAACUGAACUUCUUAGACAACAUUUGAUCUGAAAGCUUUCCGACAAUGUAGAAGCAGAACUUCUUGUUUGAGUACUGCAUUUCCUUUUUUUUCCUUCUUAGAUUUAAUGGCUGGCAUUGGAAAAUUUUAGCUUUUGUAUUCAUUGUGUUCAUUCCAAUACCAAGUAUUGUUUUCCGAUGUAUCACUUUGGAUGAUCUGUUAUUUGUAUAUGCUAUUUGCUUCAGCCUGAUCAACAAAUCUCUGUGUUGACAGCAUGCAGCAGUGAAGUAUCCCAUUUGACUUGUAUUUUCCUUCAGAAAAAUUAUUAAACCUGAAUGAAUUUGAUGUGUUUGUGUGGUUUGCUUCAUUCCAGAAUGGUCCACACAGUACCACAGGAGCACUAUCUUUGAUGAUGAGUCCAUUCGUGUCUCUAUUUUUGUUUAUUCACAAACAUAUGUAGUAUGUUAGGGAUAGUGGUGUUCUUACCAUUCAAAGGUCAGUAUUCGUUUUGAGUUUUAGCUCUGUGAAGAUAUUAUUUAUUUUAUAUUAUGAAAAGGUCAGUAUUGGUGGAGCAAGCCUUCUGAAAUCUCUUUGAUUUUGAGAGUAUACGUUUCUGCUAAAUUCAUCUCAUCUAGUGUCCAUCUGACAGUUAAGAACUCUUUUGCAACAAGUUGUUCUUUACCUGGAGCUGUAUGUAAGUACACUCUGAAUUCUGAAGCUUACUGUGCCAUAUCCAGUCCUGGCUUGGAUGGAUUUCUGGACUGAACCAUGCCGGUCUGCAAUACGUGGUGAUUAGUUCUUUGUAAUUCCAAAUUGUGCACCAAGUUGUGCCUUUGCGACUGAGAUGAACUUCAACAUAAUUGUUGCAGAGUUGUGCCUUUGCGACUCAGAUGAACUUCUACCUUAGAUACUUCCAAAGGAACCCAUUGACUGGACUUAUGGGUGAUACAAGUGAUGCAUCAGUUGGCUGAUUGAUAAAUGAUUCUUUUGUUUGCCCCUUUGGCCCCUUGUAUAUGUAUGAAAAAUAUAUUAGUACACAGAUCAGUGAUCCAAAAAUGUUGGUAGUUUGUUUGGGACAUAUUUGAUAUAAUAUCUCUCAUGAAUAUGAACAUACAGGGAUCAGACCAUAAUAUUUGUUUAACGGUGACAACAAAGUGGGGUGAUGUA